GACGGGGGGGCAAGUGUUCUUCGGAAUGACUGGGCGUAAAGGGCACGUAGGCGGUGAAUCGGGUUGAAAGUGAAAGUCGCCAAAAAGUGGCGGAAUGCUCUCGAAACCAAUUCACUUGAGUGAGACAGAGGAGAGUGGAAUUCCAGGUGUAGCGGUGAAAUGCGUAGAUAUCUGGAGGAACACCGGUGGCGAAGGCGGCAUCCUGGACCGAGAUUGACGCUGAUGCGCGAAAGCCAGGGGAGCAAACGGG
rnacentral:rRNA from 1 species